GACGAACGCUGGCGGCGCGCUUAACACAUGCAAGUCGAGCGAUGAAAUCUUAACAGAACCCUUCGGGGUGAAGAUAAGACGGAUUAGCGGCGGACGGGUGAGUAACGCGUGAGUAACCUGCCUUUUACACAGGGAUAGCCUCAGGAAACCGGGAUUAAAACCUGAUGAAACUAUCAAAUCACAUGAUUAAGAAAGUUAAAACUCCGGUGGUAAAAGAUGGACUCGCGUCCCAUUAGCUAGUUGGUGAAGGUAACGGCCCACCAAGGCAACGAUGGGUAGCCGGCCUGAGAGGGUGAACGGCCACAUUGGAACUGAGAAACGGUCCAAACUCCUACGGGAGGCAGCAGUGGGGAAUAUUGCACAAUGGGGGAAACCCUGAUGCAGCGACGCCGCGUGAGCGAAGAAGGCCUUCGGGUCGUAAAGCUCUUUUAUAUGGGAAGAUAAUGACGGUACCAUAAGAAAAAGCCCCGGCUAACUACGUG
rnacentral:rRNA from 1 species